GAUAAUUAGGGUUUGUCCUCUCUCUGCCUAUAAAUACAAGUGUGGUGAUCCCAUCAAAUUACAUACAUUACAGAGAGGACAUAAACGAGGGAAAGAGAGAGAAACAAAUCCUUGGAGUUGCGCCAGUACACCAAAGUCCGAGGAAGUUCUCUCGGUCUUCCCCAAUUGCUUCCGCUAUGGAUCAUAAAGGCAUAUAUUGAUUUUGAGAUUUCUGAAUCCGAGUACGGAAGAACUAGAGGUCUUUACGAGAGGCUACUGAACAGGACUAAACACCUGAAGGUGUGGAUAAGUUAUGCCAAGUUUGAGGCUUCUGCUAUGGAAGAGGUCCUUCUGACAGUGAAUAUAAGAAAAAGUGCCUUGAGCGAGCCAGAGGUUCAGGUGUAUUUGAAAAAGCCCUUAGCUAUUUUAGAACUUCUGCCCCUGAGGAAAGAGCAAUGCUUUUGGAAGAGUGGUUGAACACGGAAAAAAGUUUUGGUGAGCUUGGUACUGUGGAGUAGGUUACUUCCAAAGAAACUGAAGAAGAGACGGCACAUUGAAACUGAGGAUGGUCCAGCUGGUUAUGAGGAGUCCCAGAAGAAACACAGACCACCAAUCUCAAAAUUUUGGAAGCGGCGUACAAGUGGAAGAAGCAGAAGGUCUGUGGCCAUUUGAUCUUCUUGUUAAUAUUGUCUUUGACAUUUCUGUAUGUAUGUAUAGCAAUUUGCCGAUGUACUAAGCUGCAAAGACGAAUUUUGAAAUUAAUCUGUUUCCACAAUUUUUUGGAUUGAGUUUUUAUUGAUAUGGGAUAAUAGGAAAGUACCUCAACUUUAUCUCUA